GUCGAGCGAACAGAGAAGGAGCUUGCUCCUUUGACGUUAGCGGCGGACGGGUGAGUAACACGUGGGCAACCUACCCUAUAGUUUGGGAUAACUCCGGGAAACCGGGGCUAAUACCGAAUAAUCUUUUGUCCCUCAUGGGACAAUACUGAAAGACGGUUUCGGCUGUCGCUAUAGGAUGGGCCCGCGGCGCAUUAGCUAGUUGGUGAGGUAACGGCUCACCAAGGCAACGAUGCGUAGCCGACCUGAGAGGGUGAUCGGCCACACUGGGACUGAGACACGGCCCAGACUCCUACGGGAGGCAGCAGUAGGGAAUCUUCCACAAUGGGCGAAAGCCUGAUGGAGCAACGCCGCGUGAGUGAAGAAGGAUUUCGGUUCGUAAAACUCUGUUGUAAGGGAAGAACAAGUACAGUAGUAACUGGCUGUACCUUGACGGUACCUUAUUAGAAAGCCACGGCUAACUACGUGCCAGCAGCCGCGGUAAUACGUAGGUGGCAAGCGUUGUCCGGAAUUAUUGGGCGUAAAGCGCGCGCAGGUGGUUUCUUAAGUCUGAUGUGAAAGCCCACGGCUCAACCGUGGAGGGUCAUUGGAAACUGGGAGACUUGAGUGCAGAAGAGGAUAGUGGAAUUCCAAGUGUAGCGGUGAAUGCGUAGAGAUUUGGAGGAACACCAGUGGCGAAGCGACUAUCUGGUCUGUAACUGACACUGAGGCGCGAAAGCGUGGGGAGCAACAGGAUUAGAUACCCUGGUAGUCCACGCCGUAACGAUGAGUGCUAAGUGUAGGGGGUUCCGCCCUUAGUGCUGCAGCUAACGCAUUAAGCACUCCGCCUGGGAGUACGU
rnacentral:rRNA from 1 species